rnacentral:rRNA from 1 species
UCGACCUGAGAUCAGAUAAGAUUACCCGCCGAAUUUAAGCAUAUUAAUAAGCGGAGGAAAAGAAAACAACUGUGAUUCCCUUAGUAAUGGCGAAUGAAACGGGAUCAGCCCAUCGCGUAACUGCAGGUCAUCUUGGCCUCGCGGAAUGUCGCGUUUGGGAGAGUCUCAUCGGGAGCCGGACGGCCAGUCAAAGUCCAACUUGACAGUGGCCACUGCCCAUAGAGGGUGAUAGGCCCGUAAGGCGGCCGUCCGUUUCCGCCGACUUUUCCCCAGAGUCGGGUUGCUUGGGAGUGCAGCCCAAAGUGCGAGGUAAACUCCUCGUAAGGCUAAAUAUGACCUCGAGACCGAUAGCAAACAAGUACCGUGAGGGAAGAUUGAAAAGAACUUUGAAGAGAGAGUUCAAUAGUACGUGAAACUGUGUGGUGGUAAACGGAGGGGUUCUCGAAGUUUCUGUGGGGAACUCAACCUUGGUGUCGGGCGGUCGGUGCGUAUCGGAUCAGCAAUGACCGUGCGCGGCGUCUGGCUUGGCUCUCGGGUGCACUUCCCCCACAGUUUACGGCAGGAACCGUUUGGCACGGACCGAAGGCCGCGGGUGAAGUUGUCGCUUAUGGUGGCAGCCCUGUGUGUCCUGGCUCUGCGCCCCGACGGGUACGUGAGAGGACUCGUAUAGCGAGCAAUGCUC